AGAGUUUGAUCCUGGCUCAGGACGAACGCUGGCGGCGUGCUUAACACAUGCAAGUCGAACGGAAAGGCCUCUUCGGAGGUACUCGAGUGGCGAACGGGUGAGUAACACGUGGGCAAUCUGCCCUGCACUUCGGGAUAAGCCUGGGAAACUGGGUCUAAUACCGGAUAGGACCUCAAGACGCAUGUCUUCUGGUGGAAAGCUUUUGCGGUGUGGGAUGGGCCCGCGGCCUAUCAGCUUGUUGGUGGGGUGACGGCCUACCAAGGCGACGACGGGUAGCCGGCCUGAGAGGGUGUCCGGCCACACUGGGACUGAGAUACGGCCCAGACUCCUACGGGAGGCAGCAG
rnacentral:rRNA from 1 species